CCCCGCUUCGUCAAACAGGACCAGGUGUGCAUUGCUCGUCUUAGAACAGCUGGGACCAUCUGCCUUGAGACCUUCAAAGAUUUCCCUCAAAUGGGACGUUUCACCUUACGAGAUGAAGGGAAGACCAUUGCCAUUGGAAAAGUGUUGAAACUUGUUGCCGAGAAGGACUGAAAAGAAUGAUUGGUGCUUCAGCCGCAGCACACUUCAUAGCCCUCCUGUCCUUUCUCCUCUCUGCCUCCCGAAGACCAGCUUAAAAAAAACUUAUCUUAAAGAAAUCUGUUUUUAAGCAAAUGAAAAUGAAAUCAAGUCCACAUGUCAGCUUUCUCAUAUUGAGAGCUCAGCGAUGCCAUUGUUUUAGGUUCUCCCCCAUGACCUGUUCUUCGUCAAUCGCACACGUUUAAUGGCAAGAGAUCUAGCUCUCUUCCAAACUUUUUAUUUUUAUAAUUUUUCUUUUUGCUU